CGGAGCGAUGAAAUACCUUCGGGAUGGAGUUAGCGGCGGACGGGUGGAGUAACACGUGGGUAACCUGCCUUGUAGAGGGGGAUAGCCUCCGAAAGGAAGAUUAAUACGCAUAACAUCUUUUUAUCGCAUGGUAGAAAGAUCAAAGGAGUAAUCCGCUACAAGAUGGACCCGCGGCGCAUUAGCUAGUUGGUGAGGUAACGGCUCACCAAGGCGACGAUGCGUAGCCGACCUGAGAGGGUGAUCGGCCACAUUGGAACUGAGACACGGUCCAGACUCCUACGGGAGGCAGCAGUGGGGAAUAUUGCGCAAUUACGGGGGGAAACCCUGACGCAGCAACGCCGCGUGAAUGAAGAAGGCCUUAGGGUUGUAAAGUUCUGUUUACGGGGACGAUAAUGACGGUACCCGUGGAGGAAGCCACGGCUAACUACGUGCCAGCCGCCGC
rnacentral:rRNA from 1 species